AUUGAAAAUCGAAAUGGGUAAGAAUGGAGACAAGUGUUUAGCCACAGAGAAUACAAUGCCACUACUCAGCUCAAAAAGCUUUUCUUUUUCCUUUUUAUUUUCCCACAAAAACAAAAUAGGCUCUCAAGCUGACAAAAUUGACACUCAAAUCAGCCAUAGCGAUAGGAGAGAAGUACGGCGACAAUGGAGCUUCGUUUUGCUGAUAGAAUUCUUAAUGGAGACAACUAUUGACAUAGAUGAGAACCCCCAGCGAAGUUGAUAGUAUUGGUGAAUCUCACAUUGGUUCAAGCUAAGGGGGCCUUUAUCAUUUAUUGUUGUGUCCUUCCUUUAUUACUCGUAAUAUUGCUCCAUUCAUUAGUUUCAUGUGUACUUUGUUCAUCAUGUUACUUAUAAGUGUUCAUCAUAGAAAGUUAGUAAGAUCAUUUGUAGAAUAGAUUACUCAAAUGAGAAUACAGAUAGAAUAUGGGUGCUCUUCAAUGCAUAAUA